rnacentral:rRNA from 1 species
AGAGUUUGAUCAUGGCUCAGAUUGAACGCUGGCGGAAUGCUUUACACAUGCAAGUCGAACGGUAGAGGGGGCAACCCCUUGAGAGUGGCGAACGGGUGAGUAAUAUAUCGGAACGUGCCCAGUCGUGGGGGAUAACGUAGCGAAAGUUACGCUAAUACCGCAUACGAUCUAAGGAUGAAAGCGGGGGAUCGCAAGACCUCGCGCGAUUGGAGCGGCCGAUAUCAGAUUAGGUAGUUGGUGGGGUAAAGGCUCACCAAGCCAACGAUCUGUAGCUGGUCUGAGAGGACGACCAGCCACACUGGAACUGAGACACGGUCCAGACUCCUACGGGAGGCAGCAGUGGGGAAUUUUGGACAAUGGACGCAAGUCUGAUCCAGCCAUUCCGCGUGCAGGAUGAAGGCCCUCGGGUUGUAAACUGCUUUUGUACGGAACGAAAAGGUUUGUCUUAAUACGAUGAGCUCAUGACGGUACCGUAAGAAUAAGCACCGGCUAACUACGUGCCAGCAGCCGCGGUAAUACGUAGGGUGCAAGCGUUAAUCGGAAUUACUGGGCGUAAAGCGUGCGCAGGCGGUUAUGUAAGACAGAGGUGAAAUCCCCGGGCUCAACCUGGGAACUGCCUUUGUGACUGCAUAGCUAGAGUACGGUAGAGGGGGAUGGAAUUCCGCGUGUAGCAGUGAAAUGCGUAGAUAUGCGGAGGAACACCGAUGGCGAAGGCAAUCCCCUGGACCUGUACUGACGCUCAUGCACGAAAGCGUGGGGAGCAAACAGGAUUAGAUACCCUGGUAGUCCACGCCCGAAACGAUGUCAACUGGUUGUUGGGUCUUCACUGACUCAGUAACGAAGCUAACGCGUGAAGUUGACCGCCUGGGG